rnacentral:tRNA from 1 species
CGAAACGUAGCUUAACUCAAAGCAUUUCGCUUACACCGAAAAAAAUAUCUGUGAAAACCAGAUCGUCUCGAA